rnacentral:rRNA from 1 species
AUUGAACGCUGGCGGCAGGCCUAACACAUGCAAGUCGAACGAGUGGCGGACGGGUGAGUAAUGUCUGGGAAAAUGCCUGAUGGAGGGGGGUAACUAAUGGAAACGGUAGCUAAUACCGCAUACCAUCAGAUGUGCCCAGAUGGGAUUUGAUUGUUGGUGGGGUAACGGCUAACAAAGGCGACGAUCCCUAGCUGGUAUGAGAGGUGGACCAGCCACACUGGAACUGAGACACGGUCCAGACGCCUACGGGAGGCAGCAGUGGGGAAUAUUGCACAAUGGGCGCAAGCCUGAUGCAGCCAUGCCGCGUGUAUGAAGAAGGCCUUCGGGUUGUAAAGUACUUUCAGCGGGGAGGCGUUACCCGCAGAAGAAGCACCGGCUAACUCCGUGCCAGCCGCCGCGGUAAUUC